AGGACGAACGCUGGCGGCGUGCUUAACACAUGCAAGUCGAGCGGAAAGGCCCUUCGGGGUACUCGAGCGGCGAACGGGUGAGUAACACGUGAGUAAUCUGCCCCUAGCUCUGGGAUAGCUCCGGGAAACCGGGAUUAAUACCAGAUACGACCACUUUAGACAUCUGCUGUGGUGGAAAGAAUUUCGGCUAGGGAUGAGCUCGCGGCCUAUCAGCUUGUUAGUGAGGUAACGGCUCACCAAGGCGACGACGGGUA
rnacentral:rRNA from 1 species